GUCAUUUGUCCCAGCAGAUUCUGAUGGUGUUCUCUCACUUGUGGAUCCUCAUGCCACAGCAGAACUCCUUGAAGCUGAUGCUGCCACAGAGAGGGAUCCUGAGAGGCCUACAGAGAACAUGGCUGGGCAGAGGAGGAGGGUCCAUCAACUUCCACAGCACAGAUGAACACAGUGAGAUUCUGUGGAAAUAAUGUUCA